rnacentral:rRNA from 1 species
UCUUGAACUUUAUAAGAGGUCCAGCCUGCCCAGUGACUCUGUUCAACGGCCGCGGUAUCCUAACCGUGCGAAGGUAGCGUAAUCACUUGUUCUUUAAAUGUGGACUAGUAUGAAUGGCACUACGAGGGUUAUACUGUCUCCUUUUUCUAAUCAGUGAAACUAAUUUUCCCGUGAAGAAGCGGGAAUAUUACUAUAAGACGAGAAGACCCUAUGGAGCUUUAAACAACCCAGCAAUUACUUCUAAAAUUAUAAAUUUCAGAAUAUUCAUUUUUCUAAGUAACAUGUCUGCAAGUUUUUGGUUGGGGUGACCAUGGAGAAUAACAUAACCUCCAUAUUGAAUGAAUUCCCUUCUAAGCUAAAAAUUACCUAUUGAAGCAUCAAUAUACUGACAUCUAUUGACCCAAUAUAUUUGAUCAACGAACCAAGUUACCCUAGGGAUAACAGCGCAAUCCACUUCAAGAGCCCCUAUCGACAAGUGGGUUUACGACCUCGAUGUUGGAUCAGGGUAUCCCAGUGGCGCAGCCGCUACUAAAGGUUCGUUUGUUCAACGAUUAAAAC